rnacentral:lncRNA from 1 species
AUAAAAAGAACCCCCUUACUCUGAGAAUAUCAACUCUCUUAUAUAGUCCUUCAAGUAUUCUCGAACCUUCUUCCCUCCUCUCCAAGAAAUCUCCAAAUCAAAAUCUUUCCCCGAAUCUUAUUUUUACUCCUCUUUUGAUGAAAAAACGGACAAAUGGUGGGAGUGGAUCAAAUCGAAUCCAAUCCAACACUACCCAUUUUUCCUCAUUUCCAUCUGAAGGAUUAAAAAUCUGAAAAUAAAUCGAAGAGAGGGCAUGUGAGGGAGGGAAAACUUGUCAGAAAUGGUUAGAAUCUUUGUGACGUGGUGAAGAUGGGGCCAGUGUGAGUGAACUCGCCUGAGUUUCAAGCAUGUUGGGUUUGAAUCGGGUUAGGGAGACGAUUGAUAGUGCUCUUGCGUCGUUUCUAGGUCUGUUGUGAUUUA